GACAGAGGGUGCAAACGUUGUUCGGAAUUACUGGGCGUAAAGCGAGUGUAGGCGGUCCGAUAAGUCGGGUGUGAAGCCCUGGGCUCAACCCAGGAAGUGCACUCGAAACUGCCGGGCUAGAGUAUCGGAGAGGUUGGUGGAAUUCUCGGUGUAGAGGUGAAAUUCGUAGAUAUCGAGAGGAACACGUCGGUGGAGAGCGGCCAACUGGAACCGAAUACUGAGCUGAGACGCGAAAAGCGUGGGGGAGCGAACAGG
rnacentral:rRNA from 1 species